rnacentral:rRNA from 1 species
GACGAACGCUGGCGGCGUGCUUAACACAUGCAAGUCGAGCGGUAAGGCCUCUUCGGGGGUACACGGGCGGCGAACGGGUGAGUAACACGUGGGUGACCUGCCCUCAGCUCUGGGAUAAGCCUGGGAAACUGGGUCUAAUACCGUAUAUGACCUUUCCUCGCAUGGGGUUUGGUGGAAAGUUUUUUCGGCUGGGGAUGGGCCCGCGGCCUAUCAGCUUGUUGGUGGGGUGAUGGCCUACCAAGGCGACGACGGGUAGCCGGCCUGAGAGGGCGACCGGCCACACUGGGACUGAGACACGGCCCAGACUCCUACGGGAGGCAGCAGUGGGGAAUAUUGCGCAAUGGGCGGAAGCCUGACGCAGCGACGCCGCGUGGGGGAUGACGGCCUUCGGGUUGUAAACCUCUUUCGACCCCGACGAAUUUGGACGGUAGGGGUAGAAGAAGCACCGGCCAACUACGUG